GAUAUUUUCCAGUGUAGACUAUGGAGAGAGAGAGACAGAGAUAAGAAAGAGAGAAGUCCUGCUGAACUUACAAGUUACACAUAAGAAGACAUUUGGGAAGGCUCUUUCUUUCCAUAUCCAAAGAUGAAUGUUAUUGUCCUCAUUAAGAUAAAAACACUUUGUGAAUCCUAGUCUUCUCCAGGACCUUUCUCCUAUUGGAAUACAAGCCUUUUGAAGGCAAAAGUCAUGUCUGUCUGUUCCAUUACUACAGUUUUACUUA
rnacentral:lncRNA from 1 species